rnacentral:lncRNA from 1 species
AACAGAAGUUAUGGUAAACAAAUAUGGACGACUCGGUCGGCUGCCAAGACAGACGAAGGCGUUUUACCAAAAAAAGUACGCCGAUUUAAGUCUCUUCGUCUUAUCGUGAUGCGGAAAUAAUGUGUGCAGUUUGGAUGCAACUGGUUGUCAAAUAUGUUGUACCGGCAUAGGAAGAUUAGUUGAUAGAAGGAAUGUAAACACAUCACGCACUUGUCCUUUUCAUCUGCCAUC